rnacentral:rRNA from 1 species
AGGCUUAACACAUGCAAGUCGAGGGGCAGCAUGGUCUUAGCUUGCUAAGGCUGAUGGCGACCGGCGCACGGGUGAGUAACACGUAUCCAACCUGCCGUCUACUCUUGGCCAGCCUUCUGAAAGGAAGAUUAAUCCAGGAUGGCAUCAUGAGUUCACAUGUCCGCAUGAUUAAAGGUAUUUUCCGGUAGACGAUGGGGAUGCGUUCCAUUAGAUAGUAGGCGGGGUAACGGCCCACCUAGUCAACGAUGGAUAGGGGUUCUGAGAGGAAGGUCCCCCACAUUGGAACUGAGACACGGUCCAAACUCCUACGGGAGGCAGCAGUGAGGAAUAUUGGUCAAUGGGCGAUGGCCUGAACCAGCCAAGUAGCGUGAAGGAUGACUGCCCUAUGGGUUGUAAACUUCUUUUAUAAAGGAAUAAAGUCGGGUAUGCAUACCCGUUUGCAUGUACUUUAUGAAUAAGGAUCGGCUAACUCCGUGCCAGCAGCCGCGGUAAUACGGAGGAUCCGAGCGUUAUCCGGAUUUAUUGGGUUUAAAGGGAGCGUAGAUGGAUGUUUAAGUCAGUUGUGAAAGUUUGCGGCUCAACCGUAAAAUUGCAGUUGAUACUGGAUGUCUUGAGUGCAGUUGAGGCAGGCGGAAUUCGUGGUGUAGCGGUGAAAUGCUUAGAUAUCACGAAGAACUCCGAUUGCGAAGGCAGCCUGCUAAGCUGCAACUG